rnacentral:lncRNA from 1 species
AUUUCAUGGUUGAUGUUUUGUUUUUGAGUGCAUGCAAGCAUGUUUCCGCCUUUAAUUGUUAAUUGCAUGCUAUAUGAUGUUGCUCAAAUGAACAUGUUUUCACAAAAUCUUCCUUCAAGUGGUAUCAGAGCCUAGGUCUAGUAGUUGGUGAAUCCUUUUGGGUUUUGUAUUUCAUAGUUUUGAUUUAAAAGUUGUAAUAUGUUACAAGCUUUAUUCUUGUUUCUUUGAAUGUAAAUUUUGUUAGAAAAUUUGUCAUCUCAAAUGUUGUAGAUGUAGUUCAUAUGAGCAUGCAUAUUAGAGCUAAAAUUUGGUGCCAAGUUUUUGGGGAGGGUGAUUUUUUGGGUUCUUGUUUGACUUGUUAAAAGUGUUUUAAAUUGACUUUUGGAACCCCUAUGUACCCUAGGAUGUUAGCCCCAUUUUGAAUGGUGAAAAUUUAAGUUUUAUUGCUUGAAAACUUUCAUGGAGCUCUUAUGGGUUUUCAUGGAUGUUCUUCAUUGUUCUUGAUGUUCUUGCCAAGAACAAAAAGGUUUGAUGUUUUGAUUCAAAGUUUUGAUCAAAGUUUUGAUUCAAAGUUUUGAUUUAUUUCAUAAAGUCUUUGUUUUGUGUUGGUGGGUGUGACUUAUCUAUCAUCAAAACAUUUAUUAUUUUUGAAAGGUGAUAGAAAUGGUGAUGGGUGUGUAAGAAGGACUUAUCUUACACACACACCACUUGCAUGGCUUUAUUCAUAUCAACCUAUUUCCACUUGCAUGGCUUUAUGACUUAGUUGAAAAAUUUCCAAAUUUUUGUGGACUUAUCUCCACUCCUUUUUCUCCCUAAAACCGGCCACCCUAUUAAAAUAUGGUAUUUUGGGGGCUUUUAUGCAAUUAUAUAAAGUUUUGAUACUUUUGUGUAUUUGUAUUUUGACCCGAAAGUUUACGUUUUGACGUUAAGGCCUAAAAACGCUAAAGGACAAAUUGUUUUGCUCCUUUAAUGAAGUUUUGAAUUUAUUGAAAUUUUUGGGUUCUAGUUGUAAUUACAUGAAGUAGUGGACUUUUGUGUUUUUACAAAGUGACCCCAAAAGUUUGUGUUUUUGCAAUAUAGCCCAAAAGUUGUGGUAAUUGCAUUUUGGCCCAAAUUAGGUUGAGAACAAAAUUGUUUUGUCUCUUUAAAUGAGAAUUGGAUUUUCAUUUUAUUUAGCUCCAUUUAAAUCAAUUUUAUGGAUACAAAAACCAAAUGAAAAUGUUGCAUUCAAGUUUAAUUAGUUAAAGCGUUAAUUAAUUAAAGGGUGAUUAUGAACCUAAGCCUACGAUAAUUGAGCUAUGUGAAAGGCCGUUUCAAAUUUGUUUGAACCAUGGGAAUGUGUAGAUUAGAUUUUGGUUGUAAUUUGAUUUGAUCAAAUGUUGUAAAAGAGCUUAAGCUCUUCUUUACUUUAAAGUAAUUUGAAUUUUUCAAAUGUUGUAAUGAGCAUAAGCUCACCUUUACUUUGAAGUACUUCUUUCUUGCNCCACCCUAUUAAAAUAUGGUAUUUUGGGGCUUUAUGCAAUUAUAUAAGUUUGAUACUUUUGUGUAUUUUGUAUUUUGACCGAAAGUUACGUUUUGACGUUAAGGCCUAAAAACUAAAGGACAUUGUUUUGCUCCUUUAAUAAGUUUUGAAAUUUAUUGAAAUUUUUGGGUUCCUAGUUGUAAUUACAUGAAGUAGUGGACUUUUGUGUUUUUUUUACAAGUGACCCCAAAAGUUUGUGUUUUGCAAUAUAGCCCAAAAGUUUGUGGUAAUUGCAUUUUGGCCCAAAUUAGGUUGAGAACAAAAUUGUUUUGUCUCUUUAAAUGAGAAUUGGAUUUUCAUUUUAUUUAGCUCC